AAUUCUGAUCCAAAAGCCUACAAGUUCUUUUCUAUACAUGGUUAUAUUUCUUUGUUGAUAUCUAAAUUGCUGGAAGAGGUUGCAAGAGUUUGGCAUACCAGUGCAAUUUCUGCGCUUUUGGCUUUGGGCGAGGCGUGCUAACAAUACCUACCGUCCUAAUCGGCUAUUGACACCCCUUGAGGAAACCCAAUGUCUUGGGCAAUUGAGAGAAGUUUCAAAACAAGUUCACAAUGCACAGCUAAAUUUGUUUUUGGAAGUGGAGCUCGGGCUGGAUUUACGUCCCAUUGCACCACCUGACACCACCUGAAAAGACAAAGGAUGAUAUGUUACUUUUCUUCAAGCUAUAUGAUCCUGUGAAAGAGGAACUACGUUAUAUGGGAAGGCUCUUUGUGAAGAGUUUUGGUAAGCCAUUGGAGAUAUUAAUUAAGUUAAGUGAAAUGGCUGGUUACUGUCAUGAAGAAGAGAUUUUACUUUAUGAGAUCUGAUAUAGAUCCCUGAUAGAUUGUGGCUUCAUCUUCACCGAUGCCUACGUGAAUAUUGUUCUGGAGAUUGAAUUAAACGAAUAAAGAGGGAAUGAAAAACUCCCUGAAGCUUCCGGUCACCUAUUUCUUCAAUAAAAGAUCAUAAGUGAGGAAACAAAACAGAAAAGAGAAGCUGAAAUCUGAGGCAGGGAAAUUAGGUUUGAACCACAUGUCAUGUGUGAUCCUAUUGACAAGGAACGCUCCUAUAAAGAAAGCCAAGUAAAUACAUUUCUUCCCACUUGAUACUCUGCGUUGCUGAUGUGAUUUCCAUAUUGCAGCUAGAAGAUGGAGAUAUCAUUUGCUUUCAAAAAGCACUCCACCAUCUAGAUGUGCCUUCCUAUUUAAUUUAUUUGCGCAAUCGUUACGUAUCUUUUUGUGGUGUUCAAUUCAAGCAAUUUGUGUGUUUAUAUUUGGUGCACAGAAAACCUCCCCAUAUUUCUACAGUUAUUUUAUCUGCUCCGUUUUUACUUUCAUCUCAUCUUUUGCCUGUGUGUGGCUGGCUGGGUUGGUUUUAUGAAUAAUCCUUGUGUACAUUAUGGUCAUAGUUGUUUGGUAUUACUGCUGGUGCAACUAGUUGCUAAUUUUGGGUUGAUGCCUAGUUUAGUUUCCCCAUUUGAAAUUAUGCAUGGCUUUUGUUUUGCUGAAUCGCUGCCGUCUACACAUUUUGAGAAGCCAGAUUGAAUGUAGGUGGUGAGGAACGCAAACAUAGGAUUUUAUUGGUGUUUCGUGGUCAUGAAAUUCUGUCCAUGCAGUGACAUUAUCCUGACACUGUCAAACGCAGCUUCUAGGAUUUUUUACUUCCGUAUCUAUAUGUGCUUUUACACUUGACCGCUACGGUUUAUUUCUACAUAUACAAUUAUUAAUAUGAACUUUCAUGCCUUGCCUAGGAUAUAUAUUUUAAGCAAUGAGUAGAUGCACUUCUCGCAUGAACUAUUUGCUCAUUUGUUUUCAUACAUUUCCUCUUCCCUUCCUGUCUCUUCCUAAGUUUAUCUUAUGCAAUGAUCACCAAAAGCAUUCUAAGCAUCCUUUUAGGGCUAUUGCAAAUAACCUUUGUCAUUGCAAAAAUAAAAAGAUCUCAAGGUAUCUUCGAGUGGCACAUAACCUUUGUCAUUCCAAAAAUAAAAAGAUCUUAAGGUGUCUUCGAGUCAGGUUAUAAGUUAGUCAAACCUUUUUUUCCCCCCUAGUCUAUCUUUGUGCAACCCUAUUCAAUCAAAAAGAAAAUGUACAUUGAUAUCUUUUAUAGUUAUAAAAAUGAAUUAUGCGUACUCUUUUGGUUAGUAAAUAAAUAUUGUACAUGCAUGCUAUUCUUCAUAAUCUCUCUGGUCCAAAAUAUAAGAGUUUUUCCUCAGCUAAUUUUAGUUCAAAAUAUAAGCAACUUAGUACAUAUAAAUUUUUUUUUUCCAUUUUAGCCAUUGUAUUUAUCAACCUAGAUAUUUGUGUAAGUAUACCUCUUACUUAUCAUUGAAUGUUUUGGUAAUUGGGUUUAUAAGUAAAAAACAAAAAAAUAAUAUAUAUUUUUAUGAAAAUGAUAACUUUAUUGAUAUGUGAUUUUUUUUUAAAUUUUUUAUAUUUUAAACUGGAGGAAGCAUGAAGAUAUAUAUGUAGAUUAUUGAAUUUGAAAAUGAAAAAGGAUCGAGUUUGCCAUUAUAUACCUAAUCCCAUGCGUAUAGGGUUGAGUUGAGCCCCUAUUAAACCCAAAAGUUUUACGUGGCUUCUUUAUCAAACGUGGGAGGAAGGUUCGAUUGGCAAUUAUGAUUGAUAGAAUCGGUGUAGUUAGUUUUAGUUAAGCUAUCAAGCAAGUUGGUUUUUUCUGCCACCUCUUGAAAGAAAUUAUGGCCAACUGUUGGAUCGUGACUGGUUGAUCUCUGUACUGCUUUUAGUCUUGGAUCGUUACUCCUCUUGAAUUAAUGUUGAUUCUGUAAUAAGCCCAGUUCCUCAUGUUGCAAAUGGCUAGUUGUUCUUGUUCCCUUUUGUAGACCAUUUCUUUAUCUAUCCAAGGGGGAAAAAAAUUCAUUUUGGCUUGUAUGGGACAAUAGUUGGGAAAUCAUGAGAACCUCAGGAACAUUACUUGAUUACUAAAUAAGCAUUCAUAGCGCUUGCAUAUUCACAUGUAUUCUACCAAGUAAUGUUAAUCUGCUGGGCUUUUCUUUCUUGUCCUUCUUGUUCUGUACAUACAUCAGCAUGUACCUAGAACAACCUUUGGAAAAACAUCAAAACUCUAUAAAUCUCUCUAAUCUAAUGCAACCAAAAACCUUUAUUGCUCGCUAUGCCCCCAAAGUUGACCUACAAAUUAGUCCCCAGAUGACGACGAGGAACAGCUUUGUUUGCUGGCUAGUGGUGUGUUUCGCCGAGAUCGACGCUUUGUUUGGACCAGCACAGGCUCCUGCACCCAUUCUUCCAUCAUUUCAUCUCUGUCACUAUCAUUAAAAACUGGGUGGAUGUAAGCAUUCUGGAGGAACUCUUUCAAGUUCACGUUUGGCUCUCUUGCUUUCUCCAAUGUAUCUUUCAUCACUGCUUCCUGAAAUGCAAUGAUGAGUCGACAAUCACAAGGAUAAACACUGGUUAAAAAGGUUUAAAUAUGAAGGCAAAGGACGACUGAAUUGUUUUCUUCUUUUAUUUGGCUAAUGCAGUAGUGAAUAUUUGAAGUUAGCUUUUUAAAGCAAUGUAAUGUAAUUUUGCCUCGUUACAUAGCAUCUAAAGUUUAUGCCAAUUUAGCAUCUAAAUCAGAAGACUAAAACUAUUGUAUCAUUUGAAGCAGAGGGGCCAAGGGAAAUUUGUAUGGGGUUGAAUUGCACAUAACCCUCCUCAGCUAUAGAUCAUGAACAAAUAAUAUCAACCUUCAAAACUUGAUAAUGAAUUCUCCUAAGCUUUCAAAUUUAGGCUGAUAUUUCCCAGCUUUUAGCUUAUUCCAUUAGCAGGAUCUGACAAGUCAGGUGCAUUAAUAGCACACCUUACAAGAUUCCAAGUUUAUGGAGAUUAUUUGCUCAAGAAAAGAAAUUUAUUUAUUUAUUUUUUUGGGGGUUUUGGUUCUUAAUGUGUUGUAAUCUGUUAGUAUAAAACAAAUGUUUGUACAAAGAUUAAAAAUUCACAGGAGUUGGUUCUCAAACUUCAAAAUUUAGAGAAUUAUUUGCGCUUGCCCUAAGGUUCAAUGAAAUUGAGACUAGGCCCGCUAACUUAUUGAGAAGAAAAAAAUCAGUAUGCCAGUGGCAAUAUCUGACAAACCUGUAAUGGAUAUAUUUUGAAGGCAGGUUCAUAACGGUCCUUGCAGAACCUAUGAAACCAUAUGGUCAGAACUGGGAGUGCGAUGAGAAAAGGAGUUGAAUGAGCAGCUUCCUUUGUGCUCAACAAUCCCAUUAACAGCAGCUGUGACACAACUAAUGCGACCACUAUACGCCCAUGAACAUCAGGCCAGAAUGAUGCAGCACUUUCAUACUCUUGGUUGUACACAUUUAUAAUCUGCAAUACACGAGUUCAACUUCAUGCAUAUGACCAAAUUGCCCUUCAAAGGUGACACUGUGCCCCUGGUAUUCGAAGGUGACAUUGUGCCCCUGAUCAACAACACAGUGUCGGCGACUUAGUCUUGCAUCUCAGAUCUACAAUCACCGUCUUCCACCCACGGCGCUGCAGUCUCCCUCGCUCAGCUCAUGUCCUUUGUGUCUCAAAUCUGCAGUUGCCAUCUUCAAUCAUUACCCUCGCAUCUCAGAUCUACUAUACCUGAGCAUUUAGGCAAUAAAAGGUUUUAGGUUCUGGAAUGGGUGGCAGUGCAUGAGGCUUUGGUGAAGAGGACGAGAUGGCUGAGGUUCUUGAAAGCUAUGAACAAAAAGCUUUAUAAGCCAUAUCUGGUUUAGCUUCUUCCAUGGCUUUUGUCGGCAACAAGGAAGAAGAUAUAGGAUAAUUUGGUCUUUUAACUAAUUUUUUGUUUAUUUGAGUGUUACUUUUUUUUUUUUCAUUCCCACAUUAUGUAGGUGUUAUGCCAAACAUGGUUUUAAAUUUCA